UCAAAAAAAUAUAUAUAUAUGUAUCAGCAACCGCUGAGUCGGGCUCGGGACUUGGCUCUGUCCUACCCACAUCACAUUGAACUAGAACUCGAGAUGUUUAGUCUCAUGUACUAAUCACUCUAUAUCAUUACAGCAUCUCCAAAGGGCUCGGUAAAAAUAGCGGUCGCCACUUGAAUGCAGUGAUACCCUUCUUCAACCAUUCCUCCACUACCGCUAAUUUUUGGAGUGGUGUGAACAGUACUCGGCCAAUGUAGCGGGUAAUGUUUACCGGCUACUUCACUUUUUCUUUUCUUCUUUCUCUAUUUAUUUCUUCAAUUUUCUGAUUUCUUGUAUUGUUUUAUGUUUUGUUUUUUUUAGUAUAAUUGUUACUCCUAUUUAUCUUAUUAUUUGUUAAAUCAGUUUCAAAAUUAAUUUUUUAAA